GUACUCACUUUGGUAGCACAUUUAGUAAAAGUGGAACAAAACAGAGAAGAUUAGCAUGGCUCUUGCACAAGGAUGACGCUGCAAAUUCAUGAACUGUUCCAUAUUUAA